AGCCAUGCAGUAAAAAUGGGAAAACAGACCGUGCAAGUUUACUUGCCAAGGGCUGUAUUCCCAUUUUUAUGGAUGUGCGGGCGCUGAGUCCCGGUGGGACUCGUUUAGCGCCGACCGAAGCGGAGCGUAGACCGCACAUCAACCACAGACAGGAGCUGCAAAGCAGCGAAUAGCCUGUGUAAACAGGCG
rnacentral:misc_RNA from 1 species